AGCCGAAAGUGCUAAGCCCAAAAGAAAUCAGCAAAGAACAAAACAAAAGCAAAAAGCAAAUAAACAAAUUAGGAAAGUGGAAAAGGACAAAAGUCCCUCUAGAUUCCUCCUAGCAUCAUCUUCUUUGGAACCCCUCUUUCAUCAGUGAGCUAUUGGAGCUCCAAAUCAAACUUGAGCUUCCAACUGGGUCUCCAUGAAGCUCGUCUCGCUCGAUUAAAACCAAUAAAUCAGCAGCAGAGGACGAAACGGAAGCAUUGGAAGUUCGAAUCUUUGUAUACCAGGAAGAACAUGUAAAAUCUGAAUCGAUAUUAACUCCUUUGACAAGGUUAUUGUUGCUCUUUCUUCCAUUGUUGGUCUCCAGAUGAAGGAAACUCAACAGAACUUGCAGCUGCGGCUCCUCUUCCUCGAGCGUUCCGCUUUCUCAACCAAAUCGGAGCUGAAGCUCGAUUCAAUUAGGUACUCGAUGUCGAUCCAAGAUCGUAUAGAUUCUGUGGAUAGAGUAUUGUUGGUAAUCUAUCAAUUUAGCCUCAGAUUUCUGGGAUUUGCAUUAUUGUACAGCUUGUGCAAAGUAUUUAUGAACUUCAGCAACCAGUCAGAACAAUUGUAUCAUUUUUCUUACCAAAGGACCUUGUGAUCCACUCUUUCGAAGGUUCCCCUUGCUGGCAUUUUAGAGGCUUCUGGAGUGGCUUGUGCCUCUUAUCAGUUUAUGGAUAUGUCUAAGGAGUGGUGGAGGUCAAUUCUUGCUCUUAGACUCAUUGGUACCCCUAUGAUGAUUUGAGAUCAGUUUAUCGAGACAUCACUUUAGAGAUUUUAGCCAGGGUUAUCCUAGUGGCACCUGAUUAUUCUAACAGAGAUCCUAUAUUAGAUUAGGUGGUGAGAUCCAGUGCAUUCAGAUUACUAUCAUUUCUAUCUUUAUUUGUAGUCUUUAAUUUUAAUCAUAGACACUGAGUUCUAUGUACUGUUUCAAAUAUUUUAUUAGAUGAUCUUUAUACCUAUGAUAUCAGGUUUUGAGA